CACUCCUGCGGGAGGCAGCAGUAGGGAAUCUUCCACGAUGGGUACAAACCUGAUGGAGCAAUGCCGCGUGAGUGAAGAAGGUCUUCGGAUCGUAAAGCUCUGUUGUUAGAGAAGAACACGUGCUAGGUAACUACUAGCGCCUUGACGGUAUCUAACCAGAAAGUCACGGCUAACUACGUGCCAGCAGCCGCGGUAAUACGUAGGUGACAAGCGUUGUCCGGAUUUAUUGGGCGUAAAGGGAGCGCAGGCGGUCUGUUUAGUCUAAUGUGAAAGCCCACGGCUUAACCGUGGAACGGCAUUGGAAACUGACAGACUUGAAUGUAGAAGAGGAAAAUGGAAUUCCAAGUGUAGCGGUGGAAUGCGUAGAUAUUUGGAGGAACACCAGUGGCGAAGGCGAUUUUCUGGUCUAACAUUGACGCUGAGGCUCGAAAGCGUGGGGAGCGAACAGGAUUAGAUACCCUUGUAGUCCCAU
rnacentral:rRNA from 1 species